rnacentral:rRNA from 1 species
UACGGAGGGUGCAAACGUUGCUCGGAAUCAUUGGGCGUAAAGCGCACGUAGGCGGCGCGUUAAGUCGGAUGUGAAAGCCCCGGGCUCAACCCGGGAAGUGCAUACGAAACUGGCGCGCUUGAAUAUGGAAGAGGGUCGCGGAAUUCCCGGUGUAGAGGUGAAAUUCGUAGAUAUUCGGAAGAACACCAGUGGCGAAGGCGGCUCACUGGCCUGGUAUUGACGCUGAGGUGCGAAAGCGUGGGGAGCAAACAGG